AGACCCGAAACCCGGUGAUCUAGCCAUGGGCAGGUUGAAGGUUGGGUAACACUAACUGGAGGACCGAACCGACUAAUGUUGAAAAAUUAGCGGAUGACCUGUGGCUGGGGGUGAAAGGCCAAUCAAACCGGGAGAUAGCUGGUUCUCCCCGAAAGCUAUUUAGGUAGCGCCUCGUGAAUUCAUCUCCGGGGGUAGAGCACUGUUUCGGCUAGGGGGCCAUCCCGGCUUACCAACCCGAUGCAAACUGCGAAUACCGGAGAAUGUUAUCACGGGAGACACACGGCGGGUGCUAACGUCCGUCGUGAAGAGGGAAACAACCCAGACCGCCAGCUAAGGUCCCAAAGUCAUGGUUAAGUGGGAAACGAUGUGGGAAGGCCCAGACAGCCAGGAUGUUGGCUUAGAAGCAGCCAUCAUUUAAAGAAAGCGUAAUAGCUCACUGGUCGAGUCGGCCUGCGCGGAAGAUGUAACGGGGCUAAACCAUGCACCGAAGCUGCGGCAGCGAACGUAUCACCCAAGACAACUUUACGGAGUUGACGAUUGACGGAGCGAAGCGACGUCAAAGCGUUCAUUAAAGUCGAGUUGGCUUAGGGAUACGUUCGUUGGGUAGGGGAGCGUUCUGUAAGCCUGUGAAGGUGUGUCGUGAGGCAUGCUGGAGGUAUCAGAAGUGCGAAUGCUGACAUAAGUAACGAUAAAGCGGGUGAAAAGCCCGCUCGCCGGAAGACCAAGGGUUCCUGUCCAACGUUAAUCGGGGCAGGGUGAGUCGACCCCUAAGGCGAGGCCGAAAGGCGUAGUCGAUGGGAAACGGGUUAAUAUUCCCGUACUUGGUGUUACUGCGAAGGGGGGACGGAGAAGGCUAUGUUGGCCGGGCGACGGUUGUCCCGGUUUAAGCGUGUAGGUGUGUGUUCCAGGUAAAUCCGGUUCACUUUAACACUGAGGCGUGACGACGAGGCACUACGGUGCUGAAGCAACAAAUGCCCUGCUUCCAGGAAAAGCCUCUAAGCAUCAGGUAACAUCAAAUCGUACCCCAAACCGACACAGGUGGUCAGGUAGAGAAUACCAAGGCGCUUGAGAGAACUCGGGUGAAGGAACUAGGCAAAAUGGUGCCGUAACUUCGGGAGAAGGCACGCUGACACGUAGGUGAAGUGAUUUACUCAUGGAGCUGAAGUCAGUCGAAGAUACCAGCUGGCUGCAACUGUUUAUUAAAAACACAGCACUGUGCAAACACGAAAGUGGACGUAUACGGUGUGACGCCUGCCCGGUG
rnacentral:rRNA from 1 species